GUUGAAGGAUUUGGAAAAUUCCGCUAAAGAGGGUGAAAGCCCCGUAGACGAAAUGCUGACAACACCUAGGAGGAUCCUGAGUACGGCGGAACACGAGAAAUUCCGUCGGAAUCCGCGGGGACCAUCCCGCAAGGCUAAAUACUCCCUAGUGACCGAUAGUGAACCAGUACCGUGAGGGAAAGGUGAAAAGCACCCCGGAAGGGGAGUGAAAUAGAUCCUGAAACCGUGUGCCUACAACAAGUCAAAGCUCGUUAAUGAGUGAUGGCGUGCCUUUUGUAGAAUGAACCGGCGAGUUACGAUUGCAUGCGAGGUUAAGUCGAAGAGACGGAGCCGCAGCGAAAGCGAGUCUGAAUAGGGCGAAUGAGUAUGUAGUCGUAGACCCGAAACCAUGUGAUCUACCCAUGUCCAGGUUGAAGGUGCGGUAAAACGCACUGGAGGACCGAACCCACGUACGUUGAAAAGUGCGGGGAUGAGGUGUGGGUAGCGGAGAAAUUCCAAACGAACUUGGAGAUAGCUGGUUCUCUCCGAAAUAGCUUUAGGGCUAGCCUCGGAAUUGAGAAUGAUGGAGGUAGAGCACUGUUUGGACUAGGGGCCCAUCUCGGGUUACCGAAUUCAGAUAAACUCCGAAUGCCAUUCAUUUAUAUCCGGGAGUCAGACUGCGAGUGAUAAGAUCCGUAGUCGAAAGGGAAACAGCCCAGACCACCAGCUAAGGUCCCAAAAUAUAUGUUAAGUGGAAAAGGAUGUGGGGUUGCACAGACAACUAGGAUGUUGGCUUAGAAGCAGCCACCAUUUAAAGAGUGCGUAAUAGCUCACUAGUCGAGUGACCCUGCGCCGAAAAUGUACCGGGGCUAAACAUAUUACCGAAGCUGUGGACUACACCAUUAGGUGUAGUGGUAGGAGAGCGUUCUAAGGGCGUUGAAGGUCGAUCGUGAGGACGGCUGGAGCGCUUAGAAGUGAGAAUGCCGGUAUGAGUAGCGAAAGACAGGUGAGAAUCCUGUCCACCGUAUGACUAAGGUUUCCUGGGGAAGGCUCGUCCGCCCAGGGUUAGUCGGGACCUAAGCCGAGGCCGAUAGGCGUAGGCGAUGGACAACAGGUUGAUAUUCCUGUACCAGUUGUUUUUGUUUGAGCAAUGGAGGGACGCAGUAGGCUAAGGAAUGCAUGCGAUUGGAAGUGCAUGUCCAAGCAAUGAGUCUUGAGUAGAGUUAAAUGCUUUACUCUUUAAGGACAAGUUGUGACGGGGAGCGAAAUAAUAGUAGCGAAGUUCCUGAUGUCACACUGCCAAGAAAAGCUUCUAGUGAGAAAACAACUGCCCGUACCGUAAACCGACACAGGUAGUCGAGGAGAGUAUCCUAAGGUGAGCGAGCGAACUCUCGUUAAGGAACUCGGCAAAAUGACCCCGUAACUUCGGGAGAAGGGGUGCUGACUUCGGUCAGCCGCAGUGAAUAGGCCCAAGCGACUGUUUAUCAAAAACACAGGUCUCUGCAAAAUCGUAAGAUGAAGUAUAGGGGCUGACGCCUGCCCGGUGCUGGAAGGUUAAGAGGAUGGGUUAGCUUCGGCGAAGCUCAGAAUUGAAGCCCCAGUAAACGGCGGCCGUAACUAUAACGGUCCUAAGGUAGCGAAAUUCCUUGUCGGGUAAGUUCCGACCCGCACGAAAGGCGUAACGAUUUGGGCACUGUCUCAACGAGAGACUCGGUGAAAUUUUAGUACCUGUGAAGAUGCAGGUUACCCGCGACAGGACGGAAAGACCCCAUGGAGCUUUACUGUAGUUUGAUAUUGAGUGUUUGUACCACAUGUACAGGAUAGGUAGGAGCCGAUGAGACCGGAACGCUAGUUUCGGAGGAGGCGCUGGUGGGAUACUACCCUUGUG
rnacentral:rRNA from 1 species